CAUCAAAAACAUAUCAGAUCCAUGCGUCGGCAGAUUAAAGGAGCAAGAAAUGAAAAAGAAUAAUGGAAAUUUGGGAAGAAUCUUCCUCCUCUCUGUUAGGCUAGAUUGACGGCGAACUCGAGCCGAUGGCGUGACGACGAGAUUGCGAAGAUGGUGUGACGUUGAGCUUGAGCACAUGUGAGAUGAUGGCGUGAAGUCGACCUUGAACUCCGCCGUGGAUUCGUCUCUGGAGAGCCUCCAGAGCUUCGUCACCAGCGAAUCUCCGUAUUCUUCAACUCCAUUAUCAUCUUCUUAUGUUUUCUGUUGAUCAAAUAUGAAAAAAAUAGUAAAAAAUAAGAGGAAGAGAAGAUUCAUACCAAAAAAA
rnacentral:lncRNA from 1 species